CAUUGUAUUUUUUUAAACUGGGUUAAGUUGUGCACUAUUGGUGAAGUACGAGUAACCAAAUGGUUGGUUUGUCCAUUUGAGCCGACAUGUGAGACUUAGCCCUUAGUUGUAGCCAUAGUUUAGCAAGUUGCGCAUGGUGCUAAUGCAAAAUAAGUAAUUCCCUCCAUUUAAAAUUUUGAGAAUCAAGGGCAUGGACGUGAGCAACAUUGUAACAAAUCUCUUUCUCUUUUUAUGGCUUCAUAAAUUUUUAACUUAUGAAUAGAAAUAAAUACUCUAAAUUAUGUCUAACAGGAG
rnacentral:lncRNA from 1 species